rnacentral:rRNA from 1 species
UACGUAGGGUGCAAGCGUUAAUCGGAAUUACUGGGCGUAAAGCGUGCGCAGGCGGUGAUGUAAGACAGGUGUGAAAUCCCCGGGCUUAACCUGGGAACUGCAUUUGUGACUGCAUCGCUGGAGUGCGGCAGAGGGGGAUGGAAUUCCCAGUGUAGAGGUGAAAUUCGUAGAUAUUGGGAAGAACACCGAUGGCGAAGGCAGCCAUCUGGACCGACACUGACACUGAGGAGCGAAAGCCAGGGGCAGCAAACGGGA